rnacentral:tRNA from 1 species
GUUCUCGUAGUUGAAGUACAACGAUGGUUUUUCAAGUCGUUGGUCUUGGUUAGAGUCCAAGUGGGAACC